GGGGAAUAUUGCACAAUGGGCGAAAGCCUGAUGCAGCGACGCCGCGUGCGGGAUGAAGGCCUUCGGGUUGUAAACCGCUUUUGAUUGGGAGCAAGCGAGAGUGAGUGUACCUUUCGAAUAAGCACCGGCUAACUACGUGCCAGCAGCCGCGGUAAUACGUAGGGUGCAAGCGUUAUCCGGAAUUAUUGGGCGUAAAGAGCUCGUAGGCGGUUUGUCGCGUCUGGUGUGAAAGUCCAUCGCUUAACGGUGGAUCUGCGCCGGGUACGGGCGGGCUAGAGUGCGACAGGGGAGACUGGAAUUCCCGGUGUAACGGUGGAAUGUGUAGAUAUCGGGAAGAACACCAAUGGCGAAGGCAGGUCUCUGGGUCGUCACUGACGCUGAGGAGCGAAAGCGUGGGGAGCGAACAGGAUUAGAUACCCUGGUAGUCCACGCCGUAAACGGUGGAUGCUGGAUGUGGGGCCCAUUCCACGGGUUCCGUGUCGGGGCUAACGCGUUAAGCAUCCCGCCUGGGGAGUACGGCCGCAAGGCUAAAAC
rnacentral:rRNA from 1 species